GCUGCUGUAGUGUAGUGGUCAACACACUCAGGUUCAAAGCCUACGAGGACGGUGGUUCGAACCCAUCCAGCAACG